rnacentral:rRNA from 1 species
GGGUUGUGAGGUUAAGCGACUAAGCGUACACGGUGGAUGCCCUGGCAGUCAGAGGCGAUGAAGGACGUGCUAAUCUGCGAUAAGCGUCGGUAAGGUGAUAUGAACCGUUAUAACCGGCGAUUUCCGAAUGGGGAAACCCAGUGUGUUUCGACACACUAUCAUUAACUGAAUCCAUAGGUUAAUGAGGCGAACCGGGGGAACUGAAACAUCUAAGUACCCCGAGGAAAAGAAAUCAACCGAGAUUCCCCCAGUAGCGGCGAGCGAACGGGGAGGAGCCCAGAGUCUGAAUCAGUGUGUGUGUUAGUGGAAGCGUCUGGAAAGGCGCGCGAUACAGGGUGACAGCCCCGUACACAAAAAUGCACAUACUGUGAGCUCGAUGAGUAGGGCGGGACACGUGGUAUCCUGUCUGAAUAUGGGGGGACCAUCCUCCAAGGCUAAAUACUCCUGACUGACCGAUAGUGAACCAGUACCGUGAGGGAAAGGCGAAAAGAACCCCGGCGAGGGGAGUGAAAAAGAACCUGAAACCGUGUACGUACAAGCAGUGGGAGCCUCUUUUAUGGGGUGACUGCGUACCUUUUGUAUAAUGGGUCAGCGACUUAUAUUCUGUAGCAAGGUUAACCGAAUAGGGGAGCCGAAGGGAAACCGAGUCUUAACUGGGCGUUAAGUUGCAGGGUAUAGACCCGAAACCCGGUGAUCUAGCCAUGGGCAGGUUGAAGGUUGGGUAACACUAACUGGAGGACCGAACCGACUAAUGUUGAAAAAUUAGCGGAUGACUUGUGGCUGGGGGUGAAAGGCCAAUCAAACCGGGAGAUAGCUGGUUCUCCCCGAAAGCUAUUUAGGUAGCGCCUCGUGAAUUCAUCUCCGGGGGUAGAGCACUGUUUCGGCAAGGGGGUCAUCCCGACUUACCAACCCGAUGCAAACUGCGAAUACCGGAGAAUGUUAUCACGGGAGACACACGGCGGGUGCUAACGUCCGUCGUGAAGAGGGAAACAACCCAGACCGCCAGCUAAGGUCCCAAAGUCAUGGUUAAGUGGGAAACGAUGUGGGAAGGCCCAGACAGCCAGGAUGUUGGCUUAGAAGCAGCCAUCAUUUAAAGAAAGCGUAAUAGCUCACUGGUCGAGUCGGCCUGCGCGGAAGAUGUAACGGGGCUAAACCAUGCACCGAAGCUGCGGCAGCGACGCUUAUGCGUUGUUGGGUAGGGGAGCGUUCUGUAAGCCUGCGAAGGUGUGCUGUGAGGCAUGCUGGAGGUAUCAGAAGUGCGAAUGCUGACAUAAGUAACGAUAAAGCGGGUGAAAAGCCCGCUCGCCGGAAGACCAAGGGUUCCUGUCCAACGUUAAUCGGGGCAGGGUGAGUCGACCCCUAAGGCGAGGCCGAAAGGCGUAGUCGAUGGGAAACAGGUUAAUAUUCCUGUACUUGGUGUUACUGCGAAGGGGGGACGGAGAAGGCUAUGUUGGCCGGGCGACGGUUGUCCCGGUUUAAGCGUGUAGGCUGGUUUUCCAGGCAAAUCCGGAAAAUCAAGGCUGAGGCGUGAUGACGAGGCACUACGGUGCUGAAGCAACAAAUGCCAUGCUUCCAGGAAAAGCCUCUAAGCAUCAGGUAACAUCAAAUCGUACCCCAAACCGACACAGGUGGUCAGGUAGAGAAUACCAAGGCGCUUGAGAGAACUCGGGUGAAGGAACUAGGCAAAAUGGUGCCGUAACUUCGGGAGAAGGCACGCUGAUAUGUAGGUGAAGCGACUUGCUCGUGGAGCUGAAAUCAGUCGAAGAUACCAGCUGGCUGCAACUGUUUAUUAAAAACACAGCACUGUGCAAACACGAAAGUGGACGUAUACGGUGUGACGCCUGCCCGGUGCCGGAAGGUUAAUUGAUGGGGUCAGCGCAAGCGAAGCUCUUGAUCGAAGCCCCGGUAAACGGCGGCCGUAACUAUAACGGUCCUAAGGUAGCGAAAUUCCUUGUCGGGUAAGUUCCGACCUGCACGAAUGGCGUAAUGAUGGCCAGGCUGUCUCCACCCGAGACUCAGUGAAAUUGAACUCGCUGUGAAGAUGCAGUGUACCCGCGGCAAGACGGAAAGACCCCGUGAACCUUUACUAUAGCUUGACACUGAACAUUGAGCCUUGAUGUGUAGGAUAGGUGGGAGGCUUAGAAGUGUGGACGCCAGUCUGCAUGGAGCCGACCUUGAAAUACCACCCUUUAAUGUUUGAUGUUCUAACGUUGACCCGUAAUCCGGGUUGCGGACAGUGUCUGGUGGGUAGUUUGACUGGGGCGGUCUCCUCCUAAAGAGUAACGGAGGAGCACGAAGGUUGGCUAAUCCUGGUCGGACAUCAGGAGGUUAGUGCAAUGGCAUAAGCCAGCUUGACUGCGAGCGUGACGGCGCGAGCAGGUGCGAAAGCAGGUCAUAGUGAUCCGGUGGUUCUGAAUGGAAGGGCCAUCGCUCAACGGAUAAAAGGUACUCCGGGGAUAACAGGCUGAUACCGCCCAAGAGUUCAUAUCGACGGCGGUGUUUGGCACCUCGAUGUCGGCUCAUCACAUCCUGGGGCUGAAGUAGGUCCCAAGGGUAUGGCUGUUCGCCAUUUAAAGUGGUACGCGAGCUGGGUUUAGAACGUCGUGAGACAGUUCGGUCCCUAUCUGCCGUGGGCGCUGGAGAACUGAGGGGGGCUGCUCCUAGUACGAGAGGACCGGAGUGGACGCAUCACUGGUGUUCGGGUUGUCAUGCCAAUGGCACUGCCCGGUAGCUAAAUGCGGAAGAGAUAAGUGCUGAAAGCAUCUAAGCACGAAACUUGCCCCGAGAUGAGUUCUCCCUGACCCUUUAAGGGUCCUGAAGGAACGUUGAAGACGACGACGUUGAUAGGCCGGGUGUGUAAGCGCAGCGAUGCGUUGAGCUAACCGGUACUAAUGAACCGUGAGG